rnacentral:rRNA from 1 species
AGUGAACGCUGGCGGUAGGCCUAACACAUGCAAGUCGAACGGCAGCACAGUAAGAGCUUGCUCUUACGGGUGGCGAGUGGCGGACGGGUGAGGAAUACAUCGGAAUCUACUUUUUCGUGGGGGAUAACGUAGGGAAACUUACGCUAAUACCGCAUACGACCUACGGGUGAAAGCAGGGGAUCUUUGGACCUUGCGCGAUUGAAUGAGCCGAUGUCGGAUUAGCUAGUUGGCGGGGUAAAGGCCCACCAAGGCGACGAUCCGUAGCUGGUCUGAGAGGAUGAUCAGCCACACUGGAACUUAGACACGGUCCAGACUCCUGCGGUAGGCAGCAGUGGGGAAUAUUGGACAAUGGGCGCAAGCCUGAUCCAGCCAUACCGCGUGGGUGAAGAAGGCCUUCGGGUUGUAAAGCCCUUUUGUUGGGAAAGAAAAGCAGCAGGUUAAUACCCCGCUGUUCUGACGGUACCCAAAGAAUAAGCACCGGCUAACUUCGUG